GACGAACGCUGGCGGCGUGCUUAACACAUGCAAGUCUAACGGAAAGGCCCUGCUUUUGUGGGGUGCUCGAGUGGCGAACGGGUGAGUAACACGUGAGUAACCUGCCCUUGACUUUGGGAUAACUUCAGGAAACUGGGGCUAAUACCGGAUAGGAGCUCCUGCUGCAUGGUGGGGGUUGGAAAGUUUCGGCGGUUGGGGAUGGACUCGCGGCUUAUCAGCUUGUUGGUGGGGUAGUGGCUUACCAAGGCUUUGACGGGUAGCCGGCCUGAGAGGGUGACCGGCCACAUUGGGACGGAGAUGCGGCCCAGACUCCUACGGGAGGAAGCAGUGGGGAAUAUUGCAGAAUGGGGGGAAGCAUGAUGCAGCAACGCCGCGGGCGGGAUGACGGACUUCGGGUUGUAAACCGCUUUCGCCUGUGACGAAGCGUGAGUGACGGUAAUGGGUAAAGAAGCACCGGCUAACUACGUG
rnacentral:rRNA from 1 species